rnacentral:lncRNA from 1 species
CUCCUUGGGUAGUUCUUUGAUCCUUGAGAAAGCAAGGUCGAGGAUUUCUAAAUUUUUGAGCUCUCCAAUGAUGGUUAUGUCUUCAACUAGACAUCCUCUUAGACAUAACAUGCGAAGGUCUAAGAGGUGAUUAAUUGACUCAGGUAGAUAGGAAUAUGAACGUAAAUCCAAGAUUUUGAGACUUUCAAUUCGUCUGAAAAAAUGGGGAGGAAUUGCCACUGAAUCAUCAUGGGCCAUAUGGAAAAAGGAAAGACCUGAAUACUCCAUCUCCUUGGGAAGCUCGGCUACAAUUUGAGGACAAGGUAAGCUUAUCACUCUCAAGCUGUUCAUUUUCGCCUUAUCGGACCACUCCUUUGGAAUAUGAUCUCUCAAAACAAGCAUAUGGUAGUCCCUCGAUGCAAUAGCUAAAGCAGCAUCCCAAACAACAUCAUGGAUAUCAAAGUGCUCAUCAUCAUAACUAUCAAGCAACAGGGAAGACGCUUUGAGAUUAGCCACAACCGUCAAUACUUCAUUUCUAGCUUCUUCCAUAGUGUUGACACCACCAAAUAAACCCAAACCCACAGUAUAUCUCAUCAACUUCUCAACCAGACCAUUAUGGCCUAUUACACAGCAAAGCAAGAAAGUCAGCUUAACUUCCUCACUUUCUAAAUAAUUAAAACUCCACUCAAUAGCUGAAUAUGCUGCAGCUAUCCCCGUGAAGUUGCUUGAUGAAGGCCUCUCUAGUUCUCGUAAAGCAUUCUUCCACUCAAACAAUCUUUUGUUUCUCAAAGCCCCUGCAACUGUCGCAAUGGCUAUGGGCAAUCCUGCACAUUUUUUGGCUACCUCCAUAGCUGCAGGCUUCAAAUCACAACUUUCAACGCAGUCGCCAGCCUUCUUCUUGAACAGGUCCCAGGCCUCGUUUUUAUUUAAAAACCCAACAGAAAAAUGUUUCUGAGCAUCCAUCCCAUUUGAUAAAACAUUUAGCUCUCUAGAAGUUAGCAGCAACUUGCAUCCCUUGUGCUCAUCUCCCACAGGGAUCCCAACUUCCUCAAUAUCAACCUUUGCCCAAAUGUCAUCCAAGACAACCAGAACCCUCUUCUCUUUCUUCAAUCUUUCUCGUAGUCGAAGUGCCUUUACAUCAGUACUCUGUUCCUCAAAUUUCAAGCCCAAUAACUCUGCAAUUCUGUCCUGAAUUUUCUCAAUAUCAAUGGCUUGCGUUACUGUUGCUAUGACAACCGAAUCAAAUAAAUUGCCCUUGACCUUUCUAGCGAUUUCUUUGACUAGCAUUGUUUUUCCGAUCCCACCCAUACCGUGCACCCCAAUAACGCUGACGCUAUCAUCAUUUAGUGCCUCCAUUAUUCCAUUCAAAACCAACGUUCUUGACUCAAAAUCCUCGUACCCUUUAAAUGGUGUGAUAGCGAUACCUUGCAGAGGCACAGGAUAAGAAACCUCGUCAAACUUGCCCUGUUCAAGUAGCUCGGCAACAGCCUUCACCUCCUCUGCAGCUUUCAGGCUAAGCUUGUAACGAGUCCAGAAAUGAGGACACAAACCAACGAAACACUUUUUCUUUGCUUUUUCUUCAUCUUGCGUCACUUUCUCUACUUGUUCAAGGAUCCUUGUGUCGACUGCAGACAACCAUUUGUCAACAUCGCCUUGGAUCUCUUUGCCGUUUCGUAAAGCUGCAUCAACAGAAUGCUGCACUCUGUCCCUUGCAACUUUCAGCUUCUCAGCUUGGUGCUUGAGGAUCUCAACAUUUUGCUGAUGAUUGGAAAGGUAUUUGACAUGGUUUAUGAUAGGAGAAAUCGUAUACUCUGCAGCUUUAGCGACAAUAGAGCUAACGAUGGCAAUAACAAAGUCCAUUGAGAGAGCAAAGAGCAAGUAAACUGAAAAACCACAGCCACAACAGAAAUCAAAACAAAAGCAGAAGAAAAAGGUACAAGUAAAAAUGAGCAGAAAGUAAAGCUUCUGUAAACAAACAAGACAGAACAAAUGAAAGCAGAUGGCGUACCUUUGCAAAAUAUAAGAGAAGGAUUGAGCGAUGAGUUUUGAACGAUGGAAAUAAUAAUUUGCCUUAACCGAGUAAAGCGAGUAGUAAUUUGAGAAUAGGCAAGUUAAUGUAAAAGUAAGCAAGUUUCAAUUGUUUUGUAUGUUCAAAAAACAUGCAUUACUUUCGCGGAUACAACUAAAAAGUGAAGAAGCCAACAGACAUGAUGACCCACCACGCCGAUGCUUUUUCAUUUAUUGCAAUUUUUAUUCGUAAGCAUUAAAUGUUGGGUAAAUUGCACAAUUAGUCAUUUAGGCAUUGCAGUCAAAAACUAUUUUCAUUUUUUAAAAUUAUUCCCUCUUUAGUCACGUGACAUUAAUUCAAUAUUAUUAUAUACUCAUUUAAGUCAUCCAAUUUUAAUAAAUUUUUAUUUUGAUCACUCAUUUCAUGUUUUAAAUUGAUUUUAUUUUUUUUCAAAAAAAUACCUUCCUUUUUCUUUGCAACUCCAUUUCCUAUAAAAACCCAGAUAAUUCAUCGGAAAAACCCAAGUUUUUCUCUUGUUAAUGAAUAAAAACUAAAAUAAAAGUGCAAUAACAUUAAAUUAAUGGUGAGUGGCCAAACUAAAAACAAUUUUAACCAUAGUGCCUAAAAUGAAAAUAAUUUUAAUAAUAGUGCCUAAAAUGAAAAUUUUUUAUUUUUUGGUACCAAAAAUAGAACUUUUUGAAAAAACGGUGACCAAUUAUAUAGUUUUCCCUAAAAUAUUUUAGCUUGAUUAAAGUAGCCUUAUCUUUUUAUAACUUUAUUUUUUAUUUAUUAAUUUAUAUUCUAUUUUGGUAUGACCAAUUAUUGAGCUGGGGGCUUAAUGGGAAUACUAUUUUGGCACUGUGUUUUGCACGUAAAUUCGAAAAAAGGUCUUGUUAAAAUCUGUUGGAAAAAUAUUAACACAUAGAUCAAAAGCUAUCAACAUAUAUAUAUAACUAUUUAUAUAUGGCUAAGUUAGCCAAAAAAAAAAAAGCAGAUUUAAAAAAAAAAAAUUGGUUGAUUAGGCCCAUUUUUGACAUAUUUAUUAUAAUAGGUUGAUUUUUAAUAAAAAAAAAGUGAAAAUGUGUAAGAAAGCACGAUACUCUUAAAAAAUAUCAAUACCCUUAAAAAAGUAUCGAUAACCUUGCUUGACAUCGACAUUAAUUUAAACUUUAAAGUUCAGAAAAACUGAACAAAAAUCAAAAGUAUUAAUACACUUGAAAAAGUAUCGAUACCUUUCACCAUGUAUUGAUACCAUCGUCAACCUUUCAAUAUUCUAUCUAUGUUUUUUCUUUGGUUCAUUUUCAUAUGUAUUUUUCUUCGCAUAUUUUACCAUUUCUUAACAUGUUUGUUUACCUUACAAGUUUAUCAUAUCUAAAACAUGAUUUUAGCAAAGCUGCUAUUGUGGAACCAAAAAUAUUUUGUAUUUAUGAUGAGAUUUAUGGAACUUUGACUUACAAAUUGGCUAUCAAGCCUUGAAAGAAUGGGUGGUAGUGGUGGUGGCAGCUGCUUCCUUUGAGGCUGCUAUAGUGGCACUUUCCUUAAACUAAUAUUGUAAAGGUACUCCCAUUUUUAAUGGUAUUUCACUCUCUCUACUCUGAUAAUGUUUUCUUUUCUCUCCAUUCAAUUAUAGAAAAAAAAAAAAAGAUUUUGGUAUCGGAGGAUUCACCAUGUAUCCAUCUUCCAAAGUUAGGAGAAGACAAGAUGCUAGCUACCAUUAGAAAGUAGCACUACACAAAGCAUUUCUUUUUCCCCACAUUGUCGAUAAACCUUUGUAAUCCAAUCAAUAGAUUUAUAAAUUUCAUUGUAAUUCUAAUUGUAGGAAACAACACGUACCGAUAUUAAAAAUACAUCAUCCUAGACACAAUUUCAUUUUUUUCUCUCUAAAAUCGACCUAUUCCAAUAAAUAUAUCAAAAAUAAGCCUAAAUAACCAAAAGAAUUUUUUAAAUCUGCCUUCCUAACUAAUUUAGCUUUUAUAUAAGAACAAUGAUUUAUGCUUCACAUAAAUCAAAUCAAUAAUCGAAGUAAGUAUAUAAGUGGGUGUGAACUUAUUAAAAAUAUUUAUAUAUAAUUAAAUAUAUAAUUAGUUAACUAAUGAGGUGUCACAAAUACUAGAGUGCUACGUUCAAAAUUGAGAAAAAUUAUUAAAUUUUAAAAUUAAUGUGAAAAAAAAUUACAGAUCAAAUUAAAAGAAAAUGUCAUGUUCGGAACUAAAUGUUGACUAACCUUCAUUUAUUAACCCAAAUGUUAAAAGGAUUAAAUAUCUUAAAAUAAUUUUAAUCUCUAAAAUUUGACACGAUUUAAAGUUUUUAAUUUUUUUAGGUAUAAUAAUAAAUUUAACUUCUAAUAUUUAUUGUUUUUCACUUUAAUCUUAAUUUUUUAUUACUUUAACUCUCAACCUUACAAAUAUAAUCAAAAUGUUUUUCAUUUUAGUCUUAAUUUUUUCUCCUCUCUAAUGGGGUUUUCAAGCGCAAGAAGAUCAUACUCUCUUAUUGCUCUUAGCUUUCUCACCAUUUCAUUUCUAUGUUUAUGAUAAUACUCUAAAAUGAUAUAUUUUUAUGUAUUAAUUAUAUAUUUAUUUUGAGUACGAUCCUAUUAAUUUGUGUUUUUUAUGAUUUUUAUCUUUUAGGGACUAAAUUGCAGCCAAAAGGAAAUUUGAGGGCAAAAAGAGUGAAUUUGAGGACAAAAUGGCAACAUGCAAAAUAGGAAAGAAGUGGUGCCAAAAAUACAAAGUGUGAAAGACUUGAGGAAAAAAAUUCAAAGAAGAGAUUUAUAAACAUAAGACUCUAUUUAAAUUUAAAUUUUAUUAGGAUUAUUGUUAAGAUUAUUAUUUAGAUUUAAUUUCAGCUUUUAUCUUUAUUUAUCCUUUAGAGUUUUAAUAGGAAAAAACUAAGUUUUUCUUGUACUAUAAAUAGGGAAUGAAGUGAUACAAAUUGCACUCAUCUUUUUUGUAAAAAAUUUUGUCUCCCUGAAGCUCUUGAUCUUUGUUCAUUUUGUUAUUUAAUAAAAUUCCAUUUUAUUAAACUUAUUUCUUUUUUCCCGAAAAGCAUAAGCCACUAAACUCAUCUAGCCAAAGGUGCUUUAUAUGUUUUGGGAAGGUUGCACAGUUGAUUCGUUAGCUUACUGGAUCAGUGGUUGUCGAGCCUAAGAGACAAGAUGGUGUGGCAUUCGCCAUUGAGAAGUGAUGAUCUAGUGUAAGAUGGUCUUAAAAAAGUGGCAAUUGGCUAGAGUCAGAUUCCUUUAAAUCGUAAGGCUAAAAUCUAAGUGGAGCUGGUGGUCGUAGGUGUCCUCUUCUAUUAUAACUAGCUUAUUCUGUCAUGAGAAGGAUCAUCUAAAAGCCGAGGAUUAAACCCAAGAAGGAUUGAGACAACCGAAGGCUAGAAUCUCUCAAUUAAAGAAACUAUUUUCUCAAUUCUAUUUCUCUUUACAAUUUUGAUUUCAAUUUAUACAACUUCACCCCUUCUAUAUCUUUAAUUCUAUUUUUUUUCCAAGUACAUUGCUUUUUCUUGGGAACGAUUGUGACCGAGAUCUUGAGGAAUAAGAAGUUGUGCAAAUCUAAUCCCUGAGGAUUUGGUCCUACUUCCCUUAUACUAUAUUUUUCCUUAUUUUAUAGGGAUAGAUUAUUUUUGGUGAUUUUAAUAACACACCAGUUUAGAAAAUGCCAAUUGUUGCUGCAAUGUAUAUGAAGGUAAGUGGGUGUAUGACAGCUCCUAUCCUCUCAUCCACAAGGAGUUUAAUUGCCUCAAGUAUGGCCGCCCUGAUAAUCUUUACGUUAAAUAUAGAUGGCAACCAAGCAAGUGUAAUUUGCCAAGGUACAUAUCUCUCACCGCCCUCAAUGUUUCAUCUAUGGAGGGUGUCGAAAUUAUCAAAUAAAAAUAAUUCCUACAAUAAAAUAACUCUAAAUAGUGGUAAACAGUAGUAAAUAGUAGUGUUUGUAAAUUAAGCUGCCUUUUAAGUGUACCACACCACCUAUUUAUACAUAAAUCAUACGCUAAUUUUAAGCUUGUUCCACAUAUUACUAACUACAUAAAUUAAUAUCAUAUUUCAUUUCUAAUUUUGGCUUUUACAAGGUUAAAAUUUGAUCAGCCCCUCAAAUGUCUCAAAUUUAUGAUUCAGUCCCUGUUCUAUUUCUCAUGCUUCAAUUUAAUUCCUUCUUUGUUUGUUUUUUAUUUAAAACACCCAAAUUUCAUCUCUGUAAAUAUUUAAACACAAAAUUCAUCAAUUAGCAGGAACUAAUUCAAAAUCAAAUUAAGCACAAAAAAAUAUACAAAAUGAACAAUCUAUCAAUCUGCAUGUCUAUUAGCUUAAUGGAACAAAUGACAGGUUUGAUGGAACGCAUUUGUUGAGGAGAUUAAGGGCAAUAAGAUAAUGCUUAUUGGAGACUCCAUAAGUAUAAGCCAAUGGCAAUUUCUGUUAUGCAUGCUUCAUGCUGCAGUGCCUACUACAUCUGGUAUAAUCACACUGUUUCCACUGUUACUUUCAAGGUAUAAUCACACAAGACUUGCAUAAUCUGGUAUAAUCUGACAUAAUUUGAAAUUAAAUUAAACAAUAUCAUAAUAAUCCUAACAAUAAUCCUAAAAAUAAAAUUCAUAUUUAAAUGAAGUCUUAUAUUCAUAAAUCUCUUCUUUGAUUUUUUGCUCCAAGUCUAUCACAAUUUGUAUUUUUGGCACCACUUCUUCCCUAUUUCGCAUGCUGACCUAUUUUGUCUCUAAUCUCACACUUUUUCCCCAAACUUCCUUUUGCCUUCAAGUUAGUCCCUACAAGAUUAAAAACCAUAAAAAGCCCAAAUUAGUAGGAUCAUUUUAGAAAUAUGUUAUUAGAUCUAGCUUUUGCUAUAUAUAUGGUAUUCAAUUAUAUUUUGCUAUAUAAUUUCAAGUAUAAAAAAACAUACAACUUAAAUAAUUCAAAAUUAAACAUUGCAAUUUUAAAUCCAUACUAACAUACUUAACCCAAUUUUCACAAAAUAUGAACAAGAUAUCAUAUAUUGCAUAAAUAACAUAGAUAGUUUGAAGUUGAUUUUUCAAGUAUUAAAGACCAAAAGAAUACCGAGUCACUUACCUAGUCUGCUGAAUCAACACUUGAGUGACAAAUUUCACAAAUCCACUAAUAGCCUAAAAUUUAAGAAUGGAACUUGAAAAAUCAGAAUUCAAUCAAUAAAUCAAAGGCUUAAAAGGUAUGGCUUUAUGCGGUAAUCCUAUGACAUUUCACUUGUGACAAUUCCCCUAACUAAGACACAAUUAUAUAGUUUAAUUAAACUAUUCUUUACUUCAAAAGUAAGUAAAUCAAAUUUAAUAAAAUGCAUACAUAUUUUAAGAAAAUUCAAUAAAUUAAUAAAAAUCUGUUUACUAUGGUUGGAGUUCCAACCAAAGAAUAUAUAUUCAAACAGAAAAUAUUUUAAAAAUCAAAAUUUCGAAAUUCUAAACUUCACUAUUUUGACUCACUUGAAGCAAUUCAAACUCACAACUUACUUGGUUUUUGGCAGUAGAAAAACAUAAUUUAAAGAAUUAAUGUAAUAGUAAAACUGAGAAACUUAGUUUUGUCAAAAUCAGUUACCAAAAACUUAAGUUUCGAAAGCCAAAACAUAAGAAAUCAUCACAAUCUGCACAGAUUUUUUGGGUUAACAAUUUUGACUAGCCUACUUUGGGGCCUCAUAUGACCAAGAUAACAAAUACCACAUAAAAAAACAAACCCCAUACUAUGAAAAACAUCUAAAUUUCGGAACAAAUGAACACCUAAUGAUGGAUUUUUUGUGCAUCAAAAUCGACUACUCAAAACUAUCAAAAACCCACACAUCAGAAACUUUUAAAAAUUUUCUCCUAAACUACUCGAUCAAAAUGGAUCUCAUACAUACCAUUUGAAAAAUCUUGAAAAGAACUUUCGUUUGGUACCAACAAUGUCACCGAAAUCUCACCGGAAAGUCACUGAAAUGUGGCGAACAAUAAAAUUAACCCAAAUAAAAUACAUGGGCAAAGAUUUCAACAAAUAUAAACCAAAACUCAUCUUAAUAGUUGAAAACUAAGAUCGAUUUGCCAAAUUAUCAAAACCACCGUCCAAAAGAAAAUAGCAUAAGUGAUUUUUCCCCUAUUCUUUGAUAUAAAAGAACAAACGCUAUAAAAUACACAUAAAUUUGAGCUUGAUAAAAAAAAUAACUAAUGGAUCAAAUAAUUAAUUGGGCAUUCAUUUAAAAAAGUUGGGGGUAUUACAAUUAGUGAAUUAAUUAUCUUGAAGGCAAGGAUGGAUUAAGGUAUAGGACGUGAUUACGAGGGUUGGAGCAUAAUUUUUUGAAGGCUAAUGUUUGGAGUUGGAUUGCGAAACCACGAUAUGUUCUGAUUAAACAUUAAUGGAGUGAAUAAUGAAUUUGAGCUGAGUGUUUCAUGAAGCAGGCGUUUUCUUUUCUUGAUCUUUGCUAGACAGGGAAUAUUGUUAAGCUCAGCUGGUUGUUUUUAAAGAUUGGUGGAUGCAGGAAAUUUUCAAAAUUGCGAUGGCCUAUGUAUGAAUUACGUGAGCAGAAAAACUACUGUUCAAUGACAAUGAUGAUGACCAAUGUGUACGCUUUGUGUGAUCUUGAUGAGCAUAAAAACUAUGUGAUAAGAUUUUAGAUACUUUAAUUGCUGUUUGAUGAAAGAGAGAAAGUAAUGUGAAAUGGAACAGUUCAAAUAAUAGAUUUGCAAAAAGUGAAACAACCUUUUAGGUUCGGAGGAAAAUUGCAGACCCAUACAUCAAUAGAGCAACUCAACCUACAAUGAAAAAGGCAUCUCCAUCAUCACUUUGUAGCUUCUGUAAAGCAUUAGUUAAGCCAUGAUGAAGGUUAAUAAAGCAGAUAAAUGAAAAUAGAAAAGUAAAUUACCAUUUGUUUUGAACUGAAAUGAAACUAAGCUUUUGUCUCAGAAGCACCCAAACAUAUUUCCUUAAGUCACCUGAGAAUUUUGCACAUUCUGUGCUUGACCAAAAUAAACAAUUAUAAAGAAAGGUAAAACCAAGAACUGUUCAAUUAACUAUGUAUGCAAAUGCACCAAAUAGCAAUUUAUAUUCGUUAUGUUAUUAAAAGUUAAAGACUUGAAAUCCUUUAAAAUGAUUUUUACCAUUACUUGGAACAUUUGUUUUAUGGUAGUGUUAAGGUCGCCUUCCCACCAUAGUUCAUCUUCCUCAUCUCUUGCUACAUGCAUUUGUUGUAGAUUUGAGGUGCUUAAAUCUCCUUGACAGAAAUUUCUCAUUUUUGGGCACUUUGUCACCAUUACCAUUUGCAAGACAGGGAACUCUAACGAGUGAUGUGCCAAGGAAAAGCUUGCUAGACUUGGCAGACCACUCAGUUUCAAAUACUUCAGUUUGGGAAAAAUAAUGCUGCCUUGUAUUUCUUCACCCUCACAUGCUAUGAUUUCCUCUAUCAUCUCACAAUCAGCUACGCUCAAUCUUUCUAGUAGCAUCAGGCUCUUACCUGUUGAGCAUGCCAUUAAAUUGAUGAAUCCAUGGCAGCUUAUAACUUCUAGAGUUGUUAGCUUUUUGAAAGACAGCAAAGAUGGUUGAAAAGUCUUUAAUGUCAACUGCGGAAGUUUAGACAACCUCAAUUCCUUUAACUGAUAGAAUGCUGAUGUCUGCCUUCCCUUGUCGCUGAGUCCUUCAGACCAGACUAUUUCAGAAAUGGAAGCAUUGUUUAUAACAAGCUUUUGAAGCUUUGGUAGUGACUGAAUGAAGCAAUAUGGAAGAGUAGUGGAUGUCUCCGGAAAGCAAUGGAGGUUAAGAAGUUUAAGGUUUGGGAAACACUGCAAUGAGAGUUGUCCAUCACAUAUCCCCUUCAUCAUAUCAUUCAUUUUUAGUGUUAAUUCUUCUAAGACAGGGAAAGUGUCCUAGACAACAGCAAAUAUAUUAAACAUUGGUUAAAGAGUUUUAAAUUUAAGUACCAGAGAGAAGGUGACAAUAUUAGUUACAGUGAUAAUCUCAUUUGGUAUGGAUAUAAUCUCAAGCAAUGAAUUAUAUAUAACACCAUGGAAUGUAAACUAUUUGUGAACAUACCUCAUUGACGCAAAACAGGGGUUGUUGGUUUGAGAUUUCAACUUGACUCUUAGGACAUUUUGGAGCAAAUAUGUGUGCUUUGGGGCAUUCAAUAACCUCCAUAUGUUUCAAUGAUGCCCAUUGGGUGGUAUGCAUCCUAGAGCAGAAACUUUUCAAUCUCGGCAACUUAUUCAACCCAAGGUAUAUUAGUUUGGGAAAUACAAACUUAAUCGUCGUAGUUUCUCGCACAAUAGAUUGAGUAGUUGAUGUAUCGGCAAUCAGUCCUUGUGCCUCAAUUAUUUCUUCUAAGGAAUCACAAUUUUGAAUCUGCAACUUCUCCAAACUAGGGAAAACAACCUAAUAAAUUAUUUGAUUGGGUUAAUAACUGAAAUAUGUUUAAAUGAAUAAGAUUAAUGAAAGAAGUAAAGGGAGAAGACUGGUAAAGUAAAAGAAGAAGAAAUGACCUUUUCAUCGAGGACAGCAGAGUUAUGAACCAAGUUACUUGCUUGUAGAUGGUGGUCAGCUCGUGGAUCAUCUCUGGAUACAGAUACAGAGAUGAAUGCUUUUAGAAAAGGACAUUUUUUUAGCUUUAAAUUUGUUAAGCAUGGGAAUUCAGAGUAAUUUUGAAAGCAGAAACUUGUGAGUUUGGGAAGGUCUUUCAGAGACAGCAAAUCUAGUUUAGAGAAAAUCGUAUGAUUCCUCCAUUGAUCUUCUGCACCCAAUCCAUCCGUGAAGAUUACUUGUUCCAUCAUAUUACAGUCCCAGAUUUGAAGGAUUUUGAGUUCCACAAGAUGUUUUACUAAGAAGGAGGGAAACAGGUAUUUCAAAUUGUGACACCCCUCCACCCGCAAAUGAUACAAGUGUCUGAGAGAUGAGGAAGAUGGGUAGUGCCAUAAGUUAUGAAUGUUAACGGAGGACAAUUUCAGAUCCAUCAGAAGGGGAAUGACAACCUGCAAACAUAAAUCUCAUUGUAAGAUAACAUCACUCCUCCUCCUUUACUUAUAAAUACAAUCAAAAUCACAAGACGAGUAUGAGGAUUAAUAAUAUUCAAACAUCAAGUCGCUCGACAGUCGUGGACCUUUUUUGUUUAGAUGAAAUGUCUAAUUUGAUUUUUUUUUUUAUAAUAAAAGAAAAAAGCCUUUUUCUAUAAAACUUGAGCUUCUUUCUCUAUCUCCUAAUAAACCACACUUGACAACCCCUGAUUUAAUAUUUCUUUCUAAUAAAACAUUUUUAAAAAAAUUAAAAAAAAUAUUAAAAAUUUAUAUAAACUUAUAACAAUUAUAAAAAAUAUAUAAAAUUUAAAAAACCCUAAAAAAUAAAAAAAUCAUUAAGAAAAACUAAUAAAAAUAAUAAAACAUAUUUAAAAUUUUAUAUAAGCUUAUAAAAGUUUUUAAAAAAAUCAAAAAAGCUUAUUAAUAUUAUAAGAACUUAUAAUUUUUUUUUAAAAGAAAAGUUAUUAUUACUUCCUCAAUUUGUAAAUUAAACCCCUAAAAUCAAAAUGAACACGUGGUAUCAGAUCAACCAUUGAAUAAUGAGAAUAAUUUCAUGUUGAAUAAAAUGUUCUCUACCUUCCAUAGAUAAAACGACAACUGCACAACCCUCUACUUUUUAUUAAUAAUUUGCGAUUUUUAUUUUUGAAUUUUUUAUCUUCAAUUUUUUGAGUAUAGUACAAUAACCUUGAAAGGUUGAAAAUUGUUUGCCAAAUAUUAUAUACUAUAAAGAAUUUUUGGUACAAUUAGAUAUUAUAAAACCAAAAUUUCAUAAUCCAAUGGUUACAAAUAUUAGCAUAUAUUUGUAUAAAAUAUUGUGAUGACUACACCCAUUAUCCAAGGGUUGAUAUGAUGUCACAUGUUUAUUCUGAUGUUAAGAGUUUAGUUUCUAAAAUGAGGAACCAAUAAAUGAUUUUUUUUAAAUAUAUAUUAAUAUUUAAUAAGUUUUAUGAUUUUUUUCAUAAUUUUUAUAAUUUAUAUAAGUAUAUAAUAUUUUCAACAUUUUUAGAAUUUUUUGAGUUUUAAUAAUAUUUAUAAGUUUUUUAUGAAUUAUUUAUAAGUUUUAUAUUUUUUAUAAGUUUCCUUAAAAAUUAUUUUUUUAUCCAUUAGAUUUUGAUAUAUGAAUUAUCACCAUUCAUAUAUAUGUGUAGACCAGACAAACUCAUAAAUUGAUCAAAUAAAAGGAAAAUAUGAAAUAAGUUGUGCAGAUAAAUAUUAAAUACCAAACUGACCUUGUCGCUAAAAAAAUUUGCAGUAUUAUCGUCGAUGUCUCCCUCACCAACCACAUUUUCACUUGCAUCGCCACUCUCUCUUGAAACUGAGGAUGAAAAUGCAGUCAUUUUUGGACAGUCAACUAUCGUAAUAUCAAUAGACUUGGGAAAUUCAAGAGGUCGACUUCCCAAAUAAAAAUUUGUCAAGUUGGAACACGCCUCUAUUUUUACAAAGGAGAGCUUAGGAAAUGUCAACUUAUGAAUGGUUGCUUCCUCCUCCUCCCUAAUCACUUGUUCCAUUGUAUUGCAUUCCUUUACUUCUAUCCUGUCUAGUUGCUUGAGGCUCAAAAGCAUAGACGGGGUAAAAAUGUACUUCAAGCUGCUACAUUUAUAAAACUCCAUUUCUCUAAGGUUCUGCAACUCCAAAAUUUCUUGAGGGUUCCUUUUCCAUGUUUCUAUUAACUUUGGAAAUGUGUCAGAAAUGUUCAAAUCACGUGGGCCAUUGAAUCCACCCUAAAACAAUAAAUCCAUCCAUAUUAUUACAUUCAUAAUUCAAAAAAUAAUUGUACCAGGAUAGGAGAAAGCUAGCUAGCCUUAUGAAUUAACUCCGUACCUUUUCCGUGUACAAUUGUUGUAUGGUGGUAUUCAGGUCACCUGUCCAACGCCCUUUCUCAUCGAAAGUCUCCUGUUUUACUCUUUGUAAUUGCGGGGUGCUUAAAACUCCCUCAGAAAAGAUCUUCAAUUUAGGACACCUUUCCACAACCACUUCUUCCAAACAAGGAAAGUUGAAGGUGUAACUCCCAGGACAAAAGCUUGUGAGGCUUUGUAGUUCGCUGAGUUGUAAACAUUUCAAUUUACCAGCAACUAUCGUCUGAUGGUAGUCUCCCUCGUGUGCCACUAUUUCUGUCAUUUUGGUGCACCCUUUUACCCUCAUUGUUGUUAAUUGUACCAGAUUCUCAACUACAGAUGGAGCUACCAGGUUUUUCAUCAUUUUGCAAAAUGACACGUGCAAAGUUGUGAGAUUUUGAAAAGAUAAUGACCAGGCUCCGAUAUUUAUCAAAUCCUCACAAUUCCAGACUUCAAGUGUUUGGAGAUUAGAAAGAAUAUAACCAAGCACUGAAUCUUUCCUCCAUACGUGCUUAAGACUUCUAGAAUAUUGCAAUUUCAGAUUUUUUAUUCGUGUGAGAGUCCUAGCAUCUCCUUUACAAUGGACUACAUCUUUAAAAUCAAAACCAGAAAGCAAAAGAGUUCCCAGAUUGUAGAAUCUUCGGAGGAAAGGAAAUAUAUAAGAAGAUCCACCAUGGGAGGAACAACUCAGUCGAAAAAGUUUAAUAUUGUGAAACAAGUCCAGCGGAAGCAGAUCCAUAUCACCAAAUAUUACUACCUGCAGUUCCUCUAAAUUGGGAAAGACCUUAAAAACCAAUAAAACAUACACAAGCCAGGCUCAGUGUGGGUCUGCAUGCUUAAAUCAAAUGAAUCCAAAAAUAGAAGAAUUUUUUAUUUUAAGAAAACACAACACCUUAUACACAACUUGAGAGCCAUGGAAGAAUAGCAAGUCUAAAUUAAAAUGGAUAUACUAUCACUGUUUAUGACAAAGACUACUUAAUGCUCAUAUAUAGGCACAACAAUGUAAUCAAAACAAAAGGUUUUCUUUUAGUACAGUUAAGGUAUCCUCUAGGUUAGUUUUAAGGUUCAUGAAGACUCUUUCAAAGUUCAUGGAUGCUCCUCCUUAUAAUGUCAUCCUUAAUGUUUAAAUUUGAGUUUUCUCCUGAGAGCACAAUGUGUUUUACCAUUGCAUAAAGGCUUGUUGCAUAAAAAUUAAAGUUUCUGUAGAAUAUGUAAUGCCCAUCGAACUUAUAUAAGAUUCAGUUAAUUAAAAUGCAUUAUCAUGGCAUAUAUACGGACUUGAGAUGCAUGUGGCAGUGGUUUAAAUCAGGAAAAGAAAUAUAUUUGUAAUCAUAUACGUACCUCCUCAACCAGCAAAACUGGCUGCCCAUUUCCAUUUGUCUCUUGGAUUAAUCUAAGAUGUUCUGAAGCCACUAUCUUUCGCAAAGUAGAAGAAUCUGUUCUCAUUUUUUUCAACAUGGGCCAGACUAUUGUAUGUUGCCCUUUAUAGAAACAUUUGAGCUUUUCUAAGUCUGUAACCUCAAGUGAAGACACUUUGGGAAACUUAAACCUCACAGGCUGCUCCUCCACUCCUUCCCCUGCCGAUACAAUCUCCUCCACCCCACACCUACUUAUCCUUAAAUGUUCAAGUUGUGGAAGAUGUUUGGCUAUUGACACUGGAAAUAGAUUUUUCAGACUCCAACAGUCCUCAAGAACUACUUGUCGUAGAUUUUGAAAGGUAAGAAUUUCUUGGCCUUGGAGAUCAACAUGCUUCAAUUUUGGGCUUAGUUGAGAAUCUGCAGCAUGUACUUUGUUGGUAUUUAACCCUCUGACCUCAAAUAUAUGUUCUAGUGAUUCACAUCUCCACACUUGAAGCAUUUGCAAACAGUUAAAUACUCUGAUGAGACAUUUAGAUGAAAAAAUAGUCAACAACUCAUCACAAAAAGCAACACUUAUUUCUUCUAAUUUGCAAAAGGAACCUGGUGCUAGCUCAUUAUCAAAUAUCAUCUUCACAUAACUCAAGUAGGAGAUUGUCAUCCUUUCCAAGCUAGGUACUGCAACCUAUUCAUAUAUAUAAUUCAUGCCCAUACCAAAGUUAGCUCAUAUAAUGAAGGCAAAAAAAAGAGGACAAAUCAGCCGAAUUAUAUAAGAGUGUAAGACAAAUGAAUUAAAUAAAUAAAUUACCUUCUCACUGAAGAGAGCUUGUAUGCUGGAUUUAGUACUGGUUUGACAAAUGAAUUCUUUUAAUUUUGGGCAAUUCUCAAUCUCUAGCUCUUUCAACAAUGGGAACUUGAUAUUAUAAUUUCUUGAGCAAAAGAAAAUGAGGUUUCGAAGGCCCUCUAUACGCAGGAAAUUUAAUCGAGGGAAACAAAUAACAUCUAUCUUUUCUUCUUCUAUUUUCUCUAUAAAUAUUAUCUCCCUUAAGGACUCACAAUCCAAUAUCUGAAAUCGUUGGAGCUGCACCAUGCUGUUGGCGAGAGAGGGUGAUAACAGAUGCUCCAAGUUACCGCAUUCAUUGAUGAAUAAGCUCUUCAAAUUCGAAAGCCAAGGAUAUGUUUGGCUAUGCCAUAUUCUUUUGGUGUUAAUGGAACACAAUUGCAAGCUUUCCAAGUGACGGGAAACAAACUGCACACAUUUACACACAAUUCAUUUCUUCUUAAAAAUCUAAAAUUUAGAAGGGAAAGGGAAAGAAGGUAUGCAACAUACUUUGGAAACAUGAUUUUCAACUUUAAAGACAAUUUCAGUCCGAAUUAGGUUUCAACUUUGAAACAUAUUUUUGAGCCCUGAAAAGUGAAAACCAUUGGACAAUAUUUUUUUUAUUUUUGAAGUUUCAUCUAACAGGCAGCCAAUCUAGUCCCCUAACACUCCAAGGUAUUGUCCCCUAGGGAGGGUUUUGUCCCUUGUGUUCUGUCGAGAGCCAGCGUGCCAUAAGCGGCUGUCUAAGGACAUGGUUCGUUGAGCCAAGAGUGCCUUGACCAUAGUCUAUGGAGACACUCUAUGUCACCUCUUGGUGGGUGGUCGUAUGUCCACGUAUGGUCAAGACUCUUUCGGCUCCAUGAACCAAGCUCUCAAGGCAGCCGCUCCUGGCAAGCUAGCUCUUAACAGAGCACAACAGUACAUUUUUAAUUAUUUCAUUUAAACAUUUCAUAUAAAAAUAUUAAAAAACAAAAACACCAUUAUAUUAAUAUUCAUUACUUUUUUAAAAACUGAUUUUUAAGUAACUUCCAUAACCAGAUUGAUAUCAAGUUGAGUCGGGACUCCAACUCAAUCAAACACAUUACAUAUAGUAUAAAUUAUUUAUUAUAUUGAUAGUUAAAAAAUUUUAACCACACAAGCAGGAUUGAAAAACUACAACAUGUAAUAUUUUUUACUCUAAAGUAUCAAUUAGAAACAUAUGACUGGGUUCUCAUUGAAAUUAAAUAUCUGCAAAUAAUUAUCUAUUAAUUAAUACUUUUGAUGGCGUUACUAAAUAAUUGGAGUAUAAAAAAGGGUGUAUAAGAAAAUACGUAUAGGAGCCAAAGAAACAAACAAAUACCUGUUUAUUGAAAAGUGGUAAGGGCUCAGAACUCAUGGAAUACCUUUCGUCUUGAGAGCAAAAGCUAAUGAGUUGUGGCAAAUACUCAAGUGUUAUGGAACGUAAUUCAGAAAACCCAAUUUUGUUCAUUGUGAUAUAUUGGACCUGCUUACCAUUUUUGACAUGGACUUUCUUUAAAUAUGGAAAAUCUUCCCCAUUAUUUAACUCCUCAAGUACAUUCUUGAUGCCUUGGAUUCCAUCUAGGUCUAGGUACAAAUCUUGAGUCUUUUUCAACAACAUUUUCACCCCAUUAUCCAAAUCAAUGUUUGUAUAUAACUUGAGCUUCAAUGUUCUCAAACAUUCAUGUUUUUGGCACCACUCGUACACAUUAUAAUCACCUACAAAAAUCAUGUAUCUGUCUAAUGUCUCAAUGAACCGAUGCUUUGGAAUCAUUUGAGCAUCAGGAAUAUGAACAUAUAAAGUAGUUAGACGAGGCAAACUAUUUAAUUCAUCAAGGCUUGCGUUUCUCCUAUCGUUGUCAACCACGCCUUCAUUUUCCCAUUCAGCAAAGCUUCCCUCCAUAUAUAAUUCUUCUAAUUUAGACAAACUUGAUAAGACAUUUGGUGGGAUGAUUUUGAGUUCUCUACACUCACUCAAAUCUAACAACCUUAACCGAGUCAAUUGUGCUAUCUCCUUGGGUAGUUCUUUGAUCCAUGAGAAAGCAAGGUCAAGGAUUUCUAAAUUUUUGAGCUCUCCAAUGAUGGUUAUGUCUUCAACUAGACAUCCUCUUAGACAUAACAUGCGAAGGUCUAUGAGGUGAUUAAUUGACUCAGGUAGAUAGGAAUAUGAAGGUAAAUCCAAGACUUUGAGACUUUCAAUUCGUCUGAAAAAAUCGGGAGGAAUUGCCACUGAAUCAUCAUGGGCCAUAUGAAAAAAGGAAAGACCUGAAUACUCC